UAGUCAGACUUAACAUUGAUUGAAGCAGCUGUUGGAGAGAAGGCACCAGUCAGACCUGCAAGCACCGGGUAGUAUGCAGCGGCAGUUUUCAAUCAUACAAUGUGUACUCUUAGUCUGACUUUUAGCGGUAGUCAGCUGUCCUCGUUCUCCUCUUUGAAUUGCCCUAUUGAGUAAGGGUCGGUGUUUGCAAAAAUGUCGAGCCGACGGGGUCAGGUACCAGUAGUGACAAUAGCAAAGGGGGGCUGGACACUAGUUGUGCGAGUGGAAUGACCCAACUGGACCUAGUCAAUGAGUAAGGGUUGGUGUUUGCAAAAAUGUCGAGCCGACGGGGUCAGGUACCAGUAGUGAC
rnacentral:lncRNA from 1 species